CGGCCUGUAAUCGAGGCUAGUGCGAGGCUAAGUGCUAGAUAUAAUUCCAGCUAUACGGAGCUGUAAGAGGAGCUAUGGGGAACCCUGGCAUUCCCUAUUAUCCUGAGGGCUAAAGGUUAACCGUGUCGGAACAACAACUUAUAUGGAACAACUUGGGUCCUUCCAGUCCAUUGAACAAGUGAAAUUCAUCUGCAUGUACAUGUAUAUAAUUUAUUUUCAACCAUUUAAUAACAUACCAUAUAAUUAUUUCUAUAGGGUAUAAACUUUCGCGGAAUAGCAGCA